AUUGAACGCUGGCGGCAGGCCUAACACAUGCAAGUCGAGCGGAGCGGCGGACGGGCGAGUAAUGCCUAGGAAUCUGCCUGGUAGUGGGGGAUAACGUCCGGAAACGGGCGCUAAUACCGCAUACUAUCAGAUGAGCCUAGGUCGGAUUAGCUAGUUGGUGGGGUAAAGGCCUACCAAGGCGACGCUCCGUAACAGGUCUGAGAGGAUGAUCAGUCACACUGGAACUGAGACACGGUCCACAGUCCUGCGGGAGGAAGCAGUAGAGAAUAUUGGACAAUGAGCGAAAGCCUGAUCCAGCCAUGCCGCGUGUGUGAAGAAGGUCGUCGGAUUGUAAAGCACUUUAAGUUGGGAGGCGUUACCAACAGAAUAAGCACCGGCGAACUUCGUGCCAGCAGCCGCGUAAGUG
rnacentral:rRNA from 1 species